UACGGAGAGUGCAAGCGUUAUCCGGAUUCACUGGGUUUAAAGGGUGCGUAGGAGGGCAGGUAAGUCAGUGGUGAAAUCUCCGAGCUUAACUCGGAAACUGCCGUUGAUACUAUUUGUCUUGAAUAUUGUGGAGGUAAGCGGAAUAUGUCAUGUAGCGGUGAAAUGCUUAGAUAUGACAUAGAACACCAAUUGCGAAGGCAGCUUACUACACAACGAUUGACGCUGAGGCACGAAAGCGUGGGGAUCAAACAGG
rnacentral:rRNA from 1 species